AAAGAGAUAACAAGGAUCAAAUACGUGAAAACUCCCUUGGUUAAUAAAAUGUCCAAAUGUGAAACUCUCUUAAAUGAUAUCAUGUCCAAACGUAAAAAUUCUCAUAGAUGCUGCAAUAUCAAACGUGAAAUUCCCUGAAAUGCUAUAAGGUCCGACAUGAAAUUCUAAUUUAAAGAAAAUCCGUUACAAUAUUUUUCAAGGAUAUUAUACGGAUUUUUCUUUUACUUUGAUCCGUCGUUACGCGUUUUCGUGAAAAUGAAUUGGUUCAGGUAUGUUAAAGCUAUCCCUUCUUUCUUUUAGCAAGAUCCAUACGGUACGAACGAAAUGUUUAAAUGCACAAAUUUCAUAAAUUACUCUAUUCAUAGAAGUAUUAAAAUAUCUAUGUUCUUGAAAUUUCAUGUGUCAUAAUAUUUUAUCAUAUGUUCAUGAGUCUCAGAAAAAUACGAAAGUUGAAAAAUAUUUAUUUUAUGGUAGUACUCAAAGGCAAAAUGGUCUUAUGACAUUCCGAAUAAUUUUAUUAACGUAUUUUUCAUGCAUUGCAUUCAUGUACAUUGACUUAUGACCAGAUAGCAUUAUACACGCGCAUAUAUGUAUGUAUAUAUAUUUAUAUGGAAUAUGGAAAAUGUUAUGGAGUUAUAUACGUACCACAACUUGAUCAGGUAGUAUACAUUGAUUAUUUUGCCCACAGUGGCCGAGAUGAUAUGAUGGGAUGCCUUCAGAGGCUGAUGAAGUUAUAAAAUAUAUACCAAUGCACGACAUGACAUUCAUACGGAUACGUAUGAUACUAUAAUCAUUUCAUAAUUUAUAAAGUUAUUUAGACUUACAGGUUGAGUGAUGUUCUUCCAUGUCUGUUAUGUACUUAUGUAUGUGCUUUACAUACUCGGUACAUUUUUUGUACUGACGUCCCUUUUGCUUGGGAAUGCUGCGUUUCAUGCCCGCAGGUCCUGAUAGACAGGUCGAGAGCCCUCCAAGUAGGCUAUCAGCUCAGCCAAAGAUGUUGGUGCGCUCCAUUUGCUUUGGAGUUGCUUGUCUGAUUAGUAUCAUUUAGACGUGUAUUGUUUAGCAUGGCGGGACUUUGUCCUAACCUUUAUGUUAUUUAUGUACUCUUAGAGGCUUGUAGACAUAUGUCACAUACGUGAAAGAUUGUACGCCCUUGUCGCCCUAUGUUUUGAGUUUAUAAAGGAUCAUGUUGGCCCAUUUGGCAUGUAUGUCAUGUGUAUAUGAUGAUAUAAUAAGAAAGAUAUGCUAAUUUAG
rnacentral:lncRNA from 1 species